rnacentral:misc_RNA from 1 species
UCGAACCCCAGGCCUACGGAUCGUAUGGCGGCCUCCGCGGCAGCGACGGCGGCCUCCUGCGGCGUGGCUCUGCGUGCCAUCGUCGUGCUCAGCCGCUCAUCCCGCCUCCCGGGUCCUCGCCGGCGCAGAAGUGGGAGGGAUCACGGGACCUCGGUCACACGGCGUGGGGAAGACGAUCUGAUGCGGGCAGAGAGGGCGGGGAGGAGCGGCGACGGGCGGGCGGCGCGGGGAAGCUGGUUGGAGAAAGGCGAAUUGGCAGGAGACGUAGAUUUGGCUCCUGUCUGUCUCUCCGCUCUCCUCUCGUUUUUUU